GAGUUUGAUCCUGGCUCAGGAUGAACGCUGGCGGCGUGCCUAAUACAUGCAAGUCGAGCGAACAGAUAAGGAGCUUGCUCCUUUGAAGUUAGCGGCGGACGGGUGAGUAACACGUGGGUAACCUACCUAUAAGACUGGGAUAACUUCGGGAAACCGGAGCUAAUACCGGAUAACAUUUAGAACCGCAUGGUUCUAAAGUGAAAGAUGGUUUUGCUAUCACUUAUAGAUGGACCCGCGCCGUAUUAGCUAGUUGGUAAGGUAACGGCUUACCAAGGCGACGAUACGUAGCCGACCUGAGAGGGUGAUCGGCCACACUGGAACUGAGACACGGUCCAGACUCCUACGGGAGGCAGCAGUAGGGAAUCUUCCGCAAUGGGCGAAAGCCUGACGGAGCAACGCCGCGUGAGUGAUGAAGGGUUUCGGCUCGUAAAACUCUGUUAUUAGGGAAGAACAAAUGUGUAAGUAACUGUGCACAUCUUGACGGUACCUAAUCAGAAAGCCACGGCUAACUACGUGCCAGCAGCCGCGGUAAUACGUA
rnacentral:rRNA from 1 species